rnacentral:sRNA from 1 species
ACGCGGGAGAGAUAGAAACGGCAUCCUUUUUAAAACAAUUAAGUAGAAAACUACAACAAAAACAAAAUUGCGGAGAUAAAACCCAUAUAUCUAUCACGAUCCUUAUAUUUUAAAAAGAUAUAGUGGAUAGCUCGGUUUUUA